GUCGAGGGUCAGGGAAGGACCCUGCUGAAAAUCUAGCUGAGCCAUGGGGCGCUGAGGGAGUAAAGCGGAUGCUGAGAAAUAAAUAAUUUUUUCCGUCCCAAGGAUUUGCCCCGCCCAGGAGUUUCGACUUCCAACAGGCCGGAGAAACAUCAUACGCUGCCUAAAGCGUCGUGCGGAAGCAACGGUGGAUGGGGUCAGGAGAAGCUGGGGGUAAUGCCGCUUAGGGACCAUGCUGCUUUAGAAUGUGACGGCUGUCACCGCAGAAAACGAAAGAGGAACCAAAUUUCCCGGCUUGAUUCACAUUCCUUCAGCUGGUUGAGAUCGGGUGCCGUCACCACGGUAGCAGUGGAAGAAACACAUUCUGUUUCCUGGAAGCCAAGAAGCAACGUUGUUUUUGUGUUUUUGCUCAGAUGAUGUUACUGUGGGCUAAUUCAUUUGCAAACUUCAAGCGUGUUUAAGGAUCCAUUUUCAGAGGGAAAAUAGAGUCAUUUUUUAAAGUGGUA